rnacentral:rRNA from 1 species
CGCGCAGGCGGUCCUCUAAGUCUGAUGUGAAAGUCCACGGCUCAACCGUGGAAGGUCAUUGGAAACUGGGGGACUUGAGUGCAGGAGAGGAGAGUGGAAUUCCACGUGUAGCGGUGAAAUGCGUAGAGAUGUGGAGGAACACCAGUGGCGAAGGCGGCUCUCUGGCCUGUAACUGACGCUGAGGCGCGAAAGCGUGGGUAGCGAACA